GUUGACGGUGAUGGAGUGAUGGAGUUCUCUCUAGGCUUGAACUGAGAGACACGUGGUUGCACAGAGGUCUGGAAGGACAACUGCACCGAUGAUACCCUGGAAUUACUUGUGGAUCUAUCCAACAUUGUAGAAGACACAUAGAAUGCACAUGACACCACAAAGGUGAGUCUAGCAGAGACUAAUUUAUUCUUUUCUAAAAAUACAUUAUAUUCUGAAUUGGUAUACAUACGUAACAUAUACAUACUUGAAUCUCUUCUGCAUCAUCCCUGCUAAAUGCUUAUUUGGACCUGUGGUUACAAUAACUCCAAGUUGUCCCUAAGGAAAGCCUAUUCGACCUUUAAACAACUCCAUUAAGUGUUAUUUACAUAAAAACAUUAUAUUUUAUAAGCUAGGCAUUUUGUAAAAAUUAAGUAGAGACAGCCCUUGUCAUCUGUAGUUUAUAAUCUUUACUUCUCCCAGUUUAAUACAUUAUGGUAAGACAAAACUUAUAUUGAGCAAAAGAAGCCACAAUAAAAGAACACAUUGUACAAUUUAAUUUAUAUGAAGUUCUAGAA